UAGUGGCGAACGGGUGAGUAACACGUGAGUAACCUGCCCCUGACUCUGGGAUAAGCGUUGGAAACGACGUCUAAUACUGGAUAUGACUGCCGGCCGCAUGGUCUGGUGGUGGAAAGAUUUUUUGGUUGGGGAUGGACUCGCGGCCUAUCAGCUUGUUGGUGAGGUAAUGGCUCACCAAGGCGACGACGGGUAGCCGGCCUGAGAGGGUGACCGGCCACACUGGGACUGAGACACGGCCCAGACUCCUACGGGAGGCAGCAGUGGGGNAAUAUUGCACAAUGGGCGAAAGCCUGAUGCAGCAACGCCGCGUGAGGGAUGACGGCCUUCGGGUUGUAAACCUCUUUUAGUAGGGAAGAAGCGUAAGUGACGGUACCUGCAGAAAAAGCACCGGCUAACUACGUGCCAGCAGCCGCGGUAAUACGUAGGGUGCAAGCGUUGUCCGGAAUUAUUGGGGCGUAAAGAGCUCGUAGGCGGUUUGUCGCGUCUGCUGUGAAAUCCCGAGGCUCAACCUCGGGCUUGCAGUGGGUACGGGCAGACUAGAGUGCGGUAGGGGAGAUUGGAAUUCCUGGUGUAGCGGUGGAAUGCGCAGAUAUCAGGAGGAACACCGAUGGCGAAGGCAGAUCUCUGGGCCGUAACUGACGCUGAGGAGCGAAAGCGUGGGGAGCGAACAGGAUUAGAUACCCUGGUAGUCCACGCCGUAAACGUUGGGCGCUAGAUGUAGGGACCUUUCCACGGUUUCUGUGUCGUAGCUAACGCAUUAAGCGCCCCGCCUGGGGAGUACGGCCGCAAGGCUAAAACUCAAAGGAAUUGACGGGGGCCCGCACAAGCGGCGGAGCAUGCGGAUUAAUUCGAUGCAACGCGAAGAACCUUACCAAGGCUUGACAUACACCGGAAACGGCCAGAGAUGGUUGCCCCCUUGUGGUCGGUGUACAGGUGGUGCAUGGUUGUCGUCAGCUCGUGUCGUGAGAUGUUGGGUUAAGUCCCGCAACGAGCGCAACCCUCGUUCUAUGUUGCCAGCGCGUUAUGGCGGGGACUCAUAGGAGACUGCCGGGGUCAACUCGGAGGAAGGUGGGGAUGACGUCAAAUCAUCAUGCCCCUUAUGUCUUGGGCUUCACGCAUGCUACAAUGGCCGGUACAAAGGGCUGCGAUACCGUAAGGUGGAGCGAAUCCCAAAAAGCCGGUCUCAGUUCGGAUUGAGGUCUGCAACUCGACCUCAUGAAGUCGGAGUCGCUAGUAAUCGCAGAUCAGCAACGCUGCGGUGAAUACGUUCCCGGGCCUUGUACACACCGCCCGUCAAGUCAUGAAAGUCGGUAACACCCGAAGCCGGUGGCCUAACCCUUGUGGAAGGAGCCGUCNANAGGUNGNNUCNGNGAUNGNGACUAAGUCGUAACAAGGUAACC
rnacentral:rRNA from 1 species